rnacentral:rRNA from 1 species
UACGUAGGUGGCAAGCGUUACUCGGAAUCACUAGGCGUAAAGCGCAGGUAGGAGGUUUAGUAAGUCUGUUGUGAAAGCUCCCGGCUUAACUGGGAGAGGUCAACGGAAACUGCUAGGCUAGAGUGCGGUAGAGGUAGCUGGAAUUCCCGGUGUAGCGGUGAAAUGCGUAGAGAUCGGGAGGAACACCAGUGGCGAAGGCGGCUACCUGGACCAGCACUGACACUGAAGCACGAAAGCGUGGGGAGCAAACAGG